ACCAGCGUGGCAUAAUGGUUUGAGUCUUGGAUUACGACUCUGGAGCCAGGGUUCGAUUCCCAGCUCUGCCA